GAUAAAAUGGCUGAAAUAGUGGUUGAUUGUAAAUCAUCUUAUGGGGUUUUUCUCCUUUUAUCA
rnacentral:tRNA from 1 species